rnacentral:tRNA from 1 species
AAUAAAGCAAUGCACUGAAAAUGCUUAGAUGAGUACUUAUACUCCAUAAACACA